AGGUGGAGCAAAUCCCUAAAAGCCAUCCCAGUUCGGAUCGCAGGCUGCAACCCGCCUGCGUGAAGUUGGAAUCGCUAGUAAUCGCGGAUCAGCAUGCCGCGGUGAAUACGUUCCCGGGCCUUGUACACACCGCCCGUCACACCAUGAGAGUCGGGAACACCCGAAGUCCGUAGCCUAACCGCAAGGGGGGCGCGGCCGAAGGUGGGUUCGAUAAUUGGGGUGAAGUCGUAACAAGGUACC
rnacentral:rRNA from 1 species